rnacentral:lncRNA from 1 species
AUAACCCCAAAAAAAAUUUUUUAUAUAAAAGGGAUAGAAUAGUCCUUUAAAAUUGAUAUAAGGGGUAAAAUGGGAAGGAAUCAAAAGAUAAUGGCAUAGUUGUAGAUGCGCUGAAGUGGUAAGGGUAAAAUUGGAAAGAAAUCAAAAGUUAAUGGCAUAACAGUAGAUAUGUUGAAGUGUUAGGGGCAAAAUGGAAAAUUAAUAAUAUUAAAAAAAUUGUGAAUAGUAUUUUGAUGUGACUUAAUUGGGAGGGUUGUGCUGUCGGUGGAAUGAAACCGAGAGAGAGGGAGUCUCAGGCGUGAAAUAGAGAGGAAAGAAAGAAAGAAAAAGAGAAGAAGAAGAAGAAGAAAGAAGAAGAGGAAGGGGAUUCGAGAGGGAAAGGGAUCCCGGUUGCACUUCCAGCUGAAGGAAAAAGUGUAGAUCUCCUU